AGAGUUUGAUCCUGGCUCAGGACGAACGCUGGCGGCGUGCCUAACACAUGCAAGUCGAGCGAAGUGACUCUGAGAGAAGUUUUCGGAUAGAUCGAAGAGUCAUCUUAGCGGCGGACGGGUGAGUAACGCGUGAGAAACCUGCCUUUCACAAAGGGAUAGCCUCGGGAAACUGGGAUUAAUACCUUAUGAAACUGAAUUACCGCAUGGUAGAUCAGUCAAAGCGAAUAAGCGGUGAAAGAUGGUCUCGCGUCCUAUUAGCUAGUUGGUGAGGUAACGGCUCACCAAGGCUUCGAUAGGUAGCCGGCCUGAGAGGGUGAACGGCCACACUGGAACUGAGACACGGUCCAGACUCCUACGGGAGGCAGCAGUGGGGAAUAUUGCACAAUGGAGGAAACUCUGAUGCAGCGACGCCGCGUGAAUGAUGAAGGCCUUCGGGUUGUAAAGUUCUGUCCUUGGGGAAGAUAAUGACGGUACCCAAGGAGGAAGCCCCGGCUAACUACGUGCCAGCAGCCGUGGUAAUACGUAGGGGGCGAGCGUUGUCCGGAAUUAUUGGGCGUAAAGGGUUCGCAGGCGGUCUGAUAAGUCAGAUGUGAAAGGCGUAGGCUCAACCUACGUAAGCAUUUGAAACUGUCAGACUUGAGUUAAGGAGAGGAAAGUGGAAUUCCUAGUGUAGCGGUGAAAUGCGUAGAUAUUAGGAGGAAUACCAGUGGCGAAGGCGACUUUCUGGACUUAUACUGACGCUGAGGAACGAAAGCGUGGGUAGCAAACAGGAUUAGAUACCCUGGUAGUCCACGCCGUAAACGAUGAGUGCUAGGUGUUGGGGGUCAAACCUCGGUGCCGCAGCUAACGCAUUAAGCACUCCGCCUGGGGAGUACGUACGCAAGUAUGAAACUCAAAGGAAUUGACGG
rnacentral:rRNA from 2 species